rnacentral:rRNA from 1 species
AUUGAACGCUGGCGGCAGGCCUAACACAUGCAAGUCGAACGAGUGGCGGACCGGUGAGUAAUGUCUGGGAAACUGCCUGAUGGAGGGGGAUAACUACUGGAAACGGUCGCUAAUACCGCAUACCAUCGGAUGUGCCCAGAUGGGUUUAGCUAGUAGGUGGGGUAACGGCUCCCCUAGGCGACGACCCCUAGCUGGUCUGAGAGGAUGACCAGCCAAACUGGAACUGGGACACGGUCCAGAAUCCUACGGGGGGCAGCAGGGGGGAAUAUUGCACAAUGGGGGCAAGCCUGAUGCAGCCAUGCCGCGGGUAGGAAGAAGGCCUUCGGGUUGUAAAGGACUUUCAGCGGGGAGGCGUUACCCGCAGAAGAAGCACCGGCUAACUCCGUGCCAGCAGCCGCGGUAAUUC